rnacentral:rRNA from 1 species
GACGAACGCUGGCGGCGUGCUUAACACAUGCAAGUCGAGCGGAGCGGCGAACGGGUGAGUAACGCGUGAGUAACUGCCCCCCUCUCUGGGAUAACAGUUGGAAACGGCUGCUAAUACCGGAUAGUGGGGGAUGGCUCGCGUCCUAUCGGCUUAUUGGUGGGGUAGUGGCCUACCAAGGCGACGACGGGUAGCCGACCUGCGAGGGCGACCUGCCACAUUGGGCUGAGGUACGGCGCAAACUGCUACGGGGGGCAGGAGUGGGGAAUAUUGCACAAAGGGGGAAAGGCUGAUGCAGGAACGCCGCGUGCGGGAUGAAGGCCUACGGGUUGUGAACGGCUUUCAGCCAUGACGCGGUAGUGGAAGAAGAAGCACCGGCUAACUACGUGCCAGCAGCCGCGGUAAUAG